rnacentral:misc_RNA from 1 species
UGCCUAUUAAUCAAUUGCAAGUAAAUGCCUUGAGUGGGGAUGUUCUUGGUACAAUUCUUGUGGCCUUCCCACCUCUAAUGAAGUUUCUUUGAAACAUUAGAACAGAAAAGAAAGAAAUUUAAAAAGGAAAAUUCAUUACAUAUUCAAGACACAGUAUGUAUUAUAAAACUCACCUAUAAAAUUAAAAUAAGGUGAGACUCACAAAAUUUUUUUAGGUAAAGAACUGACGACUGGUGUGCCUGGAGUACUCAAGAAAACCAGUCUGAUAAGCCCAUUAGUUUGGUUGAGGAGACCCUUCUCCGCCUUGAGUUCCUCCUCUUAAAUCAAAAGUUUUCACCUUGAAGAGUUGAUCCUUCAAGCCAGAAUCUUCUGCACAUGUUUUAUAAGAAGCUGGUUGCUUAUCAUCAUCUAGUUCCUCUGCUUGGCGUUCUUUGCCUUUUUGACGCAGGCAUAUAAAAUCUCCAAUUGGAAUUUCUUGACCCUGCAAAAACUUUGCAGAACUGGGAUUGAUCUCCUCAGAAGGCAAGAACUGGGGUUUAUCUGCAUCUUCAUUACUAGCAUAACCACCUAGCCGCUGGCGUUUGGAUUUUGGCAACUGAUCUGUUCCAUCUUUCUCAUCGCGUGUUAGGACAUCUUCUUCAUCAUUACCACUCCUAUGCUGACGCUUACUCUUUGAAAUUUUUCUCUUCCUCUCUGUUUUGUGUGUGUUUUCCAGGCUAGCCUUUGCUAAUUCACUAUCCAUCUCUUGGCUUCAGAUGGUGCAAUAUAUAUACCUUGACCAUAGAGAGUUCUUGCGAGUGCAGGGUAGCUCUCUUU